UUUAAAGUGGCAGAAUAGUGCGUCAGAUUUAAGCUCUGGAUAAGGAGAAAUAAUUAGUUCUUCCUUUAGCG
rnacentral:tRNA from 1 species